AAACCAACAGGGAUUGCCUUAGUAACUGCGAGUGAAGCGGCAAGAGCUCAAAUUUGAAAUCCAGCUUUUGUUGGAAUUGUAAUUUGUAGAAGCAUCUUUUGAUAGGUAUCUGCAUACGUUCCUUGGAAUAGGACAUCAUAGAGGGUGAGAAUCCCGUUCAUGGUGGCAUACCGAUUCUUUGUAAGUUGCUUUCGACGAGUCGAGUUGUUUGGGAAUGCAGCUCUAAGUGGGUGGUAAAUUCCAUCUAAAGCUAAAUAUUGGCGAGAGACCGAUAGCGAACAAGUACAGUGAUGGAAAGAUGAAAAGUACUCCGAAAGGAGAGUGAAAUAGGACGUGAAAUUGUUAAAAGGGAAGUGCUUGAGAUCAGUCUGGGUAGUAGUGAUCAUCUGUGCUUUUGUGCGGUGCACUUGCUAUUUCCCCGGCCAGCAUCAGUUUGUGGUUGUGGAUAAUUGCAUUGGAAUGUAGCUCUUUCGGGAGUGUUAUAGCCUUUGUCGAUACACGAUUGCAGACUGAGGCCUGCGAUUCUAGGAUGCUGGUGUAAUGAUCUUAAGCAGC
rnacentral:rRNA from 1 species